UACGUAGGGGGCUAGCGUUGUCCGGAAUCAUUGGGCGUAAAGCGCGCGUAGGCGGCCCGGUAAGUCCGCUGUGAAAGUCAAAGGCUCAACCUUUGAAUGUCAGCGGAUACUGCCGGGCUAGAGUCCGGAAGAGGCGAGUGGAACUCCUGGUGUAGCGGUGGAAUGCGCAGAUAUCAGGAAGAACACCAACGGCGAAGGCAGCUCGCUGGGCAUUAACUGACGCUGAGGAGCGAAAGCAUGGGGAGCGAACAGG
rnacentral:rRNA from 1 species